AGAGCGAACGCUGGCGGCAGGCUUAACACAUGCAAGUCGAGCGGGCGUAGCAAUACGUCAGCGGCAGACGGGUGAGUAACGCGUGGGAACGUACCUUUUGGUUCGGAACAACCCAGGGAAACUUGGGCUAAAUACCGGAUAAGCCCUUACGGGGAAAGAUUUAUCGCCGAAAGAUCGGCCCGCGUCUGAUUAGCUAGUUGGUGAGGUAAUGGCUCACCAAGGCGACGAUCAGUAGCUGGUCUGAGAGGAUGAUCAGCCACAUUGGGACUGAGACACGGCCCAAACUCCUACGGGAGGCAGCAGUGGGGAAUAUUGGACAAUGGGCGCAAGCCUGAUCCAGCCAUGCCGCGUGAGUGAUGAAGGCCCUAGGGUUGUAAAGCUUCUUUUGUGCGGGAAGAUAAUGACGGUACCGCAAGAAUAAGCCCCGGCUAACCUUCGCGCCAGCAGCCGC
rnacentral:rRNA from 1 species